UACAGAGACCUCGAGCAUUAUCCGGAUUUAUUGGGCGUAAAGGGUCCGCAGGUGGCCGUUCACGUCGAUGGUUAAAUUUCAGGGCUCAACCCUGAAACCGCCACCGAUACGGUUCGGCUCGAGCAUGGGAGAGGUACGCGGAAUUACCGGUGUAGUAGUAAAAUGCGUUAAUAUCGGUAAGAACACCGAUGGCGAAGGCAGCCAUCUGGACCGACACUGACGCUGAGGCGCGAAAGCGUGGGGAGCAAGCAGG
rnacentral:rRNA from 1 species